UCCAGGGUAGCCUAGUGGACAUGGCAUCUGCCUGAUAAGCGGAACACUGGGUUCGUUCCACAUCCCUGGAC
rnacentral:tRNA from 1 species